rnacentral:misc_RNA from 1 species
GAUGAAGAACGCAGCGAAAUGCGAUAAGUAAUGUGAAUUGCAGAAUUCAGUGAACCAUCGAAUCUUUGAACGCACAUUGCGCCCGGCAGUAAUCUGCCGGGCAUGCCUGUCCGAGCGUCAUUUCUGCCCUCGAGCGAGUCCAGCAUCUAGGUGCUGGGCCCGCCCGGCGUUGGGGCACUACGGGAAGCCCUGUGCUGUCCCCCGUAGGCCCCGAAAUGAAGUGGCGGUCCUGCCGCGGCGCCCCCUGCGUAGUAUAACAGCUCGCUUCGGGACCCGGUGGAGGCCUGCCGUCAAACCUUACUCUCUAAGUUUGACCUCGGAUCAGGUAGGGUUACCCGCUGAACUUAAGCAUAUCAAUAGGCGGAGGA